rnacentral:rRNA from 1 species
GUACACGCUGUGACUAGCAUAUCAAUAAGCGGAGGAAAAGAAACUAACAAGGAUUCCCCUAGUAACGGCGAGUGAAGCGGGAAGAGCUCAAAUUUGAAAUCUUAAAGGGUUUCCCUUUACGAAUUGUAGUUUAAAGAAGUGUUUUCUGUUGAGGUUUUGGUAAAAGUUCUUUGGAAUAGGACAUCAUAGAGGGUGAGAAUCCCGUAUUUGACCUUUACUUUCAACUUUGUGAUACACUUUCAAAGAGUCGGAUUGUUUGGGAAUGCAGUCCAAAAUGGGUGGUAAAUUUCAUCUAAAGCUAAAUAUUGGCGAGAGACCGAUAGCGAACAAGUACCGUGAGGGAAAGAUGAAAAGAACUUUGAAAAGAGAGUUAAACAGUACGUGAAAUUGUCAAAAGGGAAGCGUUUGACACCAGUGUUGUUUUUCUGAAAAUCAAUUAAAGAACUGUUUAUGCUAAGCUGUUUAGACUUUAUCAGCUAACUGUUUAGUUUUGAGCUUUUCUUUAAUGCACUUUUCAGUUAACAAGUCAACAUCAAUUUCUUUUGCUGUAAAAAAGCUUGAGGAAGGUGGCUUGAGAUUCGUCUUAAGUGUUUAUAGCCUCUUGCCUAUGCAGUCGGAGAGAUUGAGGUCUGCAGCGUAGAUCCUUCGGGGCUAAAUGCAUUUGUGCUAAGUUAUAGCAUUUUAUAGACAACUUGUUGACUAUGAUUUGUCUUGUAGCUUACUCGCUUAUGUUAUUUUACCUACGCUUAGGAUGUUGAAGAUGUAGCACAUCAU